rnacentral:rRNA from 1 species
GACGAACGCUGGCGGCGUGCUUAACACAUGCAAGUCGAACGGAAAGGCCCUGCUUUUGUGGGGUGCUCGAGUGGCGAACGGGUGAGUAACACGUGAGUAACCUGCCCUUGACUUUGGGAUAACUUCAGGAAACUGGGGCUAAUACCGGAUAGGAGCUCCUGCUGCAUGGUGGGGGUUGGAAAUUUUCGGCGGUUGGGGAUGGACUCGCGGCUUAUCAGCUUGUUGGUGGGGUAGUGGCUUACCAAGGCUUUGACGGGUAGCCGGCCUGAGAGGGUGACCGGCCACAUUGGGACUGAGAUACGGCCCAGACUCCAACGGGAGGCAGCAGUGGGGAAUAUUGCACAAUGGGCGGAAGCCUGAUGCAGCAACGCCGCGUGCGGGAUGACGGCCUUCGGGUUGUAAACCGCUUUCGCCUGUGACGAAGCGUGAGUGACGGUAAUGGGUAAAGAAGCACCGGCUAACUACGUG